GCCAUGGAAGUGGAGAAUGACUAGGGAUAAGGAUUUUACAUUGAACAUUUUAGUUGAACUUGUUAAGUUUUAUUUUAUUUUAUUUUAUUUUUAUUUUUAUUUUAUGAUACUACUUUAGUUUUGGCAAGUUGACUUUGACAUUAGUUUAAAUUUUCUUUAUAAAUCAAGAAAUUAUUAUUAUACUAUCUUUUGUUCUCUACUUUUUUUAAAUAGUAAAGUUUAUGAAAAUUGGGGUGUUACAAUAUAUUACUUAUCUUUUAUAUAUACUAAAGGGAAAAUUGCACCUAAAUACACAAAUUUUGCCGAAAAUUCAUUUUUGACGCGAUUCUAGGAUUUUACAUUUUAAUACACCAAUU
rnacentral:lncRNA from 1 species